rnacentral:rRNA from 1 species
UACGGAGGGUGCGAGCGUUGUCCGGAAUCACUGGGCGUAAAGGGCGCGUAGGCGGCCUGAUAAGUAGGGGGUGAAAUCCUGCGGCUUAACCGCAGGGCUGCCUUCUAAACUGUCAGGCUUGAGCACAGUAGAGGCAGGUGGAAUUCCCGGUGUAGCGGUGGAAUGCGUAGAGAUCGGGAAGAACAUCAGUGGCGAAGGCGGCCUGCUGGGCUGUUGCUGACGCUGAGGCGCGAG